rnacentral:misc_RNA from 1 species
GAAAUGCGAUAAGUAAUGUGAUUUGCAGAAUUCAGUGAAUCAUCGAAUCUUUGAACGCACAUUGCGCCCGCCAGCACUCUGGCGGGCAUGCCUGUUCGAGCGUCAUUUCAACCCUCAGAACCCCUUGCGGGAUCUGGCGUUGGGGAUUGGCAUCCAGCCAGCCCCGAAAUCUAGUGGCGGUCCCUCCGCGACCUCCCCUGUGCAGUAGCGAUACCUCGCAGCGGGACAGCGGUCUGACCACGCCGUAAAACCCCCAACUUCUCAAGGUUGACCUCGAAUCAGGUAGGAAUACCCGCUGAACUUAAGC